CCUACGGGUGGCUGCAGUCGUGAAUUUUCCGCAAUGGGCGAAAGCCUGACGGAGCGACACCGCGUGCAGGAUGAAGGCCUUCGGGUUGUAAACUGCUGUCAGGUUCUAGGAACGAACGGGUGUGAACAACACUCGGAAUGACUAAGACCAAAGGAAGCAGCGGCUAACUCUGUGCCAGCAGCCGCGGUAAUACAGAGGUUGCAAACGUUGUUCGGAAUUACUGGGCAUAAAGCGCACGUAGGUGGUCUGCUAAGUCGGGCGUGAAAUCCCUCGGCUCAACCGAGGAAUUGCGUUCGAUACUGGCAGGCUCGAGGUUCGGAGGGGUAACUGGAACUCCUGGUGGAGCGGUGAAAUGCGUAGAUAUCAGGAGGAACACCGGUGGCGAAAGCGAGUUACUGGCCGAAAUCUGACACUGAGGUGCGAAAGCUAGGGUAGCAAACGGGAUUAGAUACCCUUGUAGUC
rnacentral:rRNA from 1 species